GUGGGGAAUAUUGCGCAAUGGGCGAAAGCCUGAGGGAGCGACGCCGCGUGAGGGAUGAAGGCCCUUUGGGUUGUAAACCUCUGUUAGGGGGAAAGAAAAGUAGUGGAAGCAAUAUGUCCAUUGCCUGACGUUACCCCCAGAGAAAGCUCCGGCCAACUCCGUGCCAGCAGCCGCGGUAAUACGGGGGGAGCAAGCGUUGUCCGGAAUCAUUGGGCGUAAAGGGCGUGUAGGCGGCUUGGCAAGUCGAAUGUGAAAUCCCACGGCUCAACCGUGGAACUGCGUUCGAAACUGCCUUGCUUGAGUGCGGGAGAGGUGUGCGGAAUUCCUGGUGUAGCGGUGGAAUGCGUAGAUAUCAGGAAGAACACCGGUGGCGAAGGCGGCACACUGGCCCAGCACUGACGCUGAGGCGCGAAAGCGUGGGGAGCGAACGGGAUUAGAUACCCCUGUAGUCC
rnacentral:rRNA from 1 species